rnacentral:rRNA from 1 species
GACGAACGCUGGCGGCGUGCUUAACACAUGCAAGUCGAACGGAAAGGCCCUGCUUUUGUGGGGUGCUCGAGUGGCGAACGGGUGAGUAACACGUGAGUAACCUGCCCUUGACUUUGGGAUAACUUCAGGAAACUGGGGCUAAUCCCGGAUAGGAGCUCCUGCUGCAUGGUGGGGGUUGGAAAGUUUCGGCGGGUGGGGAUGGACUCGCGGCUUAUCAGCUUGUUGGUGGGGUAGUGGCUUACCAAGGCUUUGACGGGUAGCCGGCCUGAGAGGGUGACCGGCCACAUUGGGACUGCGAGACGGCCCAGACUCCUACGGGAGGCAGCAGUGGGGAAUAUUGCACAAUGGGCGGAAGCCUGAGGCAGCAACGCCGCGUGCGGGAUGACGGCCUUUGGGUUGUAAACCGCUUUCGCCUGUGUCGAAGCGUGAGUGACGGUAAUGGGUAAAGAAGCACCGGCUAACUACGUG